UGCAUGGAGCGGGUGGGCAGGCCUCUGAAGUGGGAAGGGACCCGGAGAGUGAGACGCGGAGUCUGGGGCGAGACAACCCAGGUUCCCUCGGUCCCAGGCCCUUUCCUCUGACAGCCUGGAACCUGAUUCUGUCUGUAGCACCAGCCGGUUGGCUCAUUUCUAUGGGAAGAGAAAACACUCGGACUAAAGCGCUGCCAGAACGCAGCUGUACAUCUGUUAUGAUGUCUGCCUUGGAAAUAGCCCGGAGCCCUGGUUCCCGCGUGACUUGGGGCGUCCUGGGGUUAUAUCAGAGCUGACUGUCCCUGGAGGGCGGGCCUCACACAGCCUGGAGGCCUUGAUCAGCAGACGCUGGGAGGAGGCCCUACUGGGCCUUGUGGCAGUUAGGCGUUCAUUUCGUGGACAGAUCUCUCUUUGGCCAGAUGUGUUUCACACUGUUUGAGAGCUUUGUCCCUGGGGCAGCUCAUGUACAAGGAGCUUUGGUUGGUGAACUGGGCGCUGGACCAGGUUAUCUCUGUGCCUUUGAGCUCUGCGUGGCCCCAACUCUAUAGCUCAUGUGCCUCUGAGGGCCAUACCCGAGGUUGCUUCUUGCCCUAUGACGCCGGCCCAGGAUUGAUCUUGGUUCUCUGCUGAGGAGCUGAGGAGCUAAGGAGCGCUGGUCCCCACCGUCACCUGUACCCCCUUCCUGGCACUUGUGGGGGCAUUCCAGGGACAGAGAAGGGAGAGGAGGCUGCACUUUUUCAGGGUUCUCUUAUGAGAACCAAGAAUUUAAAGAUUACAGUAUCUUUUCUUCUCUAUCCUUCAAUGACAACUUGGUAUAAUUUUUUAAAAUCAUGUGAUGGAAGUAUGUUGUCUGCCCUCGACAUAAACUAAUUGAAGACACAGUGUCAGUGUUUAGGCUGUUGGGGGAGGCGCCACAGACUUGUGUGUCACAGCCCACCUGUGUGUGAGAAUGGAAGAGACACCUGGUAAGGUCCCUGAGGGGCCAUGGUCCUAGUUCAGGUGUGAAAGUUAACAAGGAGAGAGGAGGUCAUUGUCUGUUUUGGACCUGGAGGGAUCAUGACCUAAGUUCCUUCUUAUAAUUCAUUGAAGAUUAAUUGCCACUAGCAUAAGCCCCCAGUGGAUGUAAAUGGGUAGUCAACAUUUAAGUACAGAAAGGAUUUACUUGUGUUUUUCAUAGAUUCUCUUCUUGGCAAUGAGAUGAGAUGCAGGCACUGUGGGUAUCUUGGUGUGGAGGGUGCAAGUUUUAGGGGCUCAGGUGGUCCCAGAGGGAUAGGGCCAGGUGCACAGAGCCCUGACCUGGGGCCUGGGAGGCCUGUCUUCUGUCAGUCACCACCCUGCACUUAGGGCAUCCAUUGUCCAUAAAAGGAAGGCAGAGGGAGGGUCUCCGACUCUGCACGUUGUGAUCUGUAUAGUCAGGUAUCUGUGUAUCCGGGUUUCCUGAUUAGAACCCAGAAAAGGAAAAGAAAGCAGCACUAUCUGUUGGAAAUGUAACAUGUACAUUUAUAAGUAGGUCCCUCCUGUGCCUUAGGCACAGAUGGCAGGUGGACUGGAGGGUAAAUGUGCUGAGAACAAGCAAUGCACAGACAAACCCAAACAAAACUCAACAACAGGAACAUAAAAGACUCAGCUCUGGUCCCUCCGAACCCAGACAGGAACUGUGGAGAGUGAAGCUAUGCAGAACAGAGGAAUAAAGAGCUCCACUGAAGAAGCUUAGGGAACUCCCGAAGGUUGGAGAUGCUGCGGAGAAGAUGGGGCCGUGGAACUUAGAAAUCAAGGAUUAGCCGAGUGACACACCAUAACCCCCUAGAGAUGCUCCCUUGUUUGAGGUGGACCCACCCUGGCCUCCAGAGGAAAUAUUUUCAGGGCAUCUUUUUGACUGGUUUGCUAAGAGGCACUGUGAUGCUUUUUAAUAAUGUCUACAUUAAUUUAAAAAGGCAAAGGCCUGAAAACCAAGCAUGCCAUGGUAUCGACUGCUUUCAGUCCUCUGAAUCAAAGUUCUGGAACCCCAAGACGAUGUUCUCUAUCCCUGGGGCUCGCACCUGCAUGCACACUUCUCAGCAUCACGCACUGUGCCCCCGGCACUGGUGGCUGCUUUAAUGACUCAACACGUUUCCAGUCACUGGAGGCUCCUCUGUCACUCCACUUACGCCAGUCCCCCUGGGCGGCAAACAAGCGCAAAUACCAUGAAAAGAUGAGUGGGAGCUGAAAUACUGCUGAAGUCCUUUUCUUGUACGGGGACCAUUUUGGAGAGGCAGGUCCUGUCAUCAGCGUUCCGGCUCCCAGCUGUGCGGAAUCUCCAGGAAGAAGCCGGGGUCUGGGCUCUGCAGCUCAGGCCCCGCCCUGCCGUGUGUCAUCCGUGCCCAGAAGUGGCACCAGUUCAGCUCUGUGCAAAGGGCAUGUUUGCCAGGAGGGGCAGCCUCCGGGUGGCUGGGACUCCAGGGUCAGAUCCUUGUUGAUACGGAGUUGGUGUGACCAGAUGCUGAGCCGGCUCACAGCAUCCAGAGUAAAGAAAACAGCCUUCAGAUUCAGAACCUUAUGAGAGAAACUGAGUCCAUGACGACAAGUCUUCCAAAGCUUUCGGUGUUUUAUCAAAUGUCCCUCUUCAAGAACAACAUUAUUGGAGAGAAGAAUGUGGAGGGGAGAGAAAUGAUUUUUUCAAUGGUAAAAUAGUUCAAUGUAAAAUAGUUCUAACCAGUUCACAUUGGUAUAUUGUGUAUUCAUUUAGUAUGAUAUUCUAUUUUUGUAACUGUUUUACUAGAAGAGUAGGUCUUUGACUUAAAUAUUUAUUUUUACACAGUUA